GGGGAUGUAGCUCAGUGGUAGAGUGCUUGCCUGGCGUGUGUGAGGCCUUGGGUUCAAUCCCCAGCACUGCAA
rfam:Ictidomys tridecemlineatus contig055023, whole genome shotgun sequence.